AUUAUUAUUAUUAAUUAUUUUUAAUCUAAUGGAGUCUGUGGUACUUACCAAUUAAUUUUAUUAUUUUAUUAAUUUUAUUAUUAUUUUUAUUUAUUAAUUUUAUAGAAAUUUAUCAAUUUCUUUUCUAACAUGUGCAUUGAAUAACCUCAAAAACCAAGAUCAUAAGUAUAUACUUACUCUUUAAUUUAUUAUAUAAGUCCGUUUCAAGCGGCUCAAGGGUUAAAGUUAAUAUUUCAGUAUUUAUUCUAAAAGAAAUACACAAACUAAUCGAUCCUUCCAUAUUAAAUUACAAAUUUUUGUGAUGCUAAUGUUCAAAAGGUAUCGAAUAUAAUGCGCCAUAAAACUGCACGGAAAAUAAUGGACGUGUUUAGCUGAGAGUGCAAGAAACUCGCACUGUCAGUGCACUCGGGCAGUGUCGCCUGAACUCGGCGAGUUUCCAGUGCGCACUCAGUGUCGCCCAGUGAAAAACGCUAUUAGUUUGCAAUGUACUUUUCUUGCCAGGCACAGGAAAGCACGGUCAAUUAAUAAGGGAUGAGAAGCGAUAAUUAACUAAAAUCGAGAAAAUGUGCUGGGCGCCAGGUGCAAUUUUUCGUGCUACUCGAAAAUCGAAAAAUGCGUAAUUACAGCGAGACUUAAUAUCUCUGCUCGCGGCUUGCUCAGCAUAUGGCAGAGGGGCGCGGUUCUUAAUAGUGGAGAGGAAAAGGCGGGAACACAAUCACAACUACAAAUUCUAUAGUAACAAUAACAAAAAUAUAUUUAACAGGAACACAAAAACGUAGUUUAACAAGAAUUUUUAAACUAAGCAAAGCAAAUUUUAUGAGAACUUUGAAUCGGAUGGUUAAUAAAUAAUAUAAAGAUAAUUUGCAAGACCAAAUAGACAAUUAAUACAGAGGGGUGCGUUGAAGUAAUCGAUAGGUGAAUUUUAUACUGGGGUUACGAAGAUGCAAAAAAAGAUGGAAAAAAAUAACGCUUUGGCGGCGAAGUUCAAGACGAUAUAUGCGGUAAGAUAAUUAUGGCAAAGUAAAUAAUGAAUCAGAUACGCCACUUACAAUUGAUUAAAUUUGACAAAAACGUUAUAGAGUUACAGUAGCCAGUCCCAUGCAGUAAUUUUACGGAUUAACGAAUAUCGCGGAAAUCGAUCGGUAUCGAAUCUCGCAGAUCGAACCGCGCCAAUUCCACGCAGCGAGCUACUUUACGAUUUUGUAAGAUUGGCGCGAUAACGCUAAGUUCGCUAAGGAGAGCGAAGCCACGUGUAAGCCGUGGUCAUUCGAUUUCUGCACGCGAUACUUCAAAACUGAUUUUUUUACAAUUCCGACACGGCAAAUCACAGAUUUUCUCGACACGACAAGUCUCACAGAAAGACAAUUCGACGCGAUACGUAAUUCUCACCCGACAAUGCGGCGCGAUACGAUAAUUUCUAAAAAAGACAAAAUUUGGUACGAAACGACGCUUAAAUCUAACAUAAUUCUUAGACGAUACAGGUGACUGUUGGUGUCUGCGCUCCCCGAAAGCAAAUCAAAACGGAGUCCGGGCUGCGGUCGAUCUCUCAGUCGGAGUCAUUAUCUCGACCCUGCUUCUUAAUUGCGGUAUAUCUUAUACAUGUGGUUACGGUACGCGGUAUGAUUUAGCGAAAAGAGAUCGAUCCUCACUUGGACAUUUAAGACUAAGGUUACCGGAGCGGCGGCUUAUAAGUAUCGAUAUGCGGCAGUCGUCGGUUCCCAGCAUCGACAUACAGAAUGGACAUCUGAUGACCGUGGUGAGGGUAGAAAGACACAUAGAGUGAGAAGCAGACAAUACGAAAAACGUUCGUUCUCUGUCUACUAAAUCUGAUUAGUUGUUGGGGCCCCAGCAACCAAUCAGACUUAGUAGACAGAGAACGAACGUUCUUCGUAUUGUCUGCCUCUCACUCUAUGUGUCUUUCUACCCCCACCACGGUCAUCAGCAGUCUAUUCUGUGUGUCGAUGGUUCCCAGGCUUAAUCUCCCUUGGCAACGGCACACACGACAAUGCCAAAACGAUUCGCGCUCUUUGGCUCGCCGGGCUCCGCCGAAUCUCCGCGUGACGUCACGAUUCCUUCCUUCGCUGGUUUUUUUGCCGACGAUAGGCUCGUUACUCUUUGCGUUCUUCUCGCUCCCAGCGGCAAUACAUCCUUCUCAGAUACUUGGUAUUGCGUCCUUUUUUAUUGCUGCGGUACUUGCGAUAUUGCCCUCCCGUUUUUCCGCGAGACUUUGCGCUAUUGCCACGUUGGUAAUGUGAGCUUCGCCCGUCUAACAGCGGGCUGGCGGGGCAAGACGGGGUUCUCCGGAAUUAUCCCGGUGUCAGCGCUCCAAUUUAGAGUGACAUCCACUUCCGAGGUCGUCGGGCUAGCCAGACGUUGACGACUGUUAACUGGAGUGACAGUUCAGCGGCCAACGGUCCGCUGGCUCUGAAGGCUUCUCCGGUGGCGCUCGCUGCAACAAAGGAUGACUAUAAUUGUAUGAAGCAUUCGGGAGUAUACGAGAGAAUAAGGCGAAAUCACGACUUAGCUUUCUGGCGCAUCGUCGGCGUGGGUACGACUCCUUUGUCUUCUUCGGCUUCCUCGUUUGACGUCUUCCUUCAGACAGCCGCCGUGAACGCAACGUUAAUGACAGCACAGUGACGAGUCCCGUCUGAGUGACACGUGCACAGCGUUUUUCGGGGAUUUCCAUGCGCGCCGCGAUGUACCGUGGUUGGUGGCGAGCGCAGCUGAGACAGUGUCUGGCUGCCGAAAGCAUGGCAAGAGGUGACUCAUUGCGGGCGGUAAAUGAACAACCUUGACAAUUAUUCCUUGAUAUAUUACAUGCCCAGGAAAUAGAUUAGAAUGUUAUGAGUGGUAUGACGCUCGUUUGUCGGGCAGAUACACAUAUGUUAUAUGAUAAAACUUGUAUAGAUACUGUAAAUAAAUUUCUGUUCUGUGCCCUACUGUUGCCCUUAGAGAUUAAGAUUUGCAGUCACACUAUGUAUAUGAACUUUAUUUCGACUUGCGAAUUGAAAGAGUGAGUGAGAGUGGACGAACACAUAGUAUUCAUUCAGUGCUAGUCUACCUUGAUUUAUAAUUAUUGGAACUUUGAAUCCCCAUGUAGAGACUUGUUAGCAAAGUUUAGUAGAGAAAUAAAUGCCUCUUCCUUCAAUGCUUUUCUCAACAAUGAAGAUUGGUUUAUGGUGUAAAGAAGAAUCGUAAAGAGAGUUUCUCGCUUCCAUUAUAACCCAGAUAACAAAAUGCGCGCAUAGUGAGUUCUCGGAGCGCGCAUGCCGUGUGGAUUAUUCGCACAGUGUAAACUCACGGUAUCCGACAGUCAUCAUAUGAGAUUCAUAUCGGUCGCAUGCGUGCAGUACUCAUGCGUGAGCGAUAUGAAUCUCAAAUGCGUUCUCCCAAUAAGACUCAUAUUGCUCGUAUGUAUGCAUACGGCACGCAAAAAUUCUAAUCAUUGCCCAUUUUAUUCAUGUCUCAAUCAGCACACAAUAUUUAACCCUUAAACACAUAUUGAAAAUUCCCCUAGAUUUUUGAUCGCUUACUGUGUGAAGACGGAUUGAGAAAAAAGAUUUGGGCUAGGUUAGAGAUCCUAUAGUAAACAGAAAUGCGCCAACAGUCACGUAAUAUUUCUCUGAUUGGCUAGAGUUUUUCGCACGUAAUUUAAACUUGCGUAGCCCUGUAGUGCGACUACUGUCAACAUUGACUCUUACGAAAAUUCAGGAAUACAAAUUUAAAAAAUGAUCAAUAUAGAGCUGUCAUUAUGAUUAUUACUAGAAUUUAAAAUGAAAAAGAAACUAUUUAUUCAUUACAUUAUGAAGUUGCAGAAACCCUGAAAAUAUUUUUAUCUAUAUCUUAAAAAUAGAAUCAACUGUGUGUGUUUAAUAUUGUUAACAAAAUUUUAUAUUAUGAUUUUCGGAUAAAUAAAUAAAAUUUUAAAUUUAACUUUAAAUUUUGAUAUACAAGUAAUAAAGUAAUACAAAUAAUACUAAUAGAAAUACAAAUAAUAAUAGAAAUAUGUAGUAGAAAUGUCAACAAUAUGUAAUAGAAAAAUAUUUAUUUAUUCCUUUUUCACAUUUCUACAUUAGUGUUAAACUUAUUGUUAUGUAACUAUGAUUAGUAGUCUGGAAUGUAUUUAACAUUUUACAAAAAAAAUUAAAAGAAAAAAACUAAAAUUCGAGAAAUAGAAUUAUGGAGAACAAUACAAUAAAAAACAAUUCGUUAAAAAAAAAUUGCAUAUGUUUUUUAAAUACUUAUCACGUCAGAAGUAUUUUACUUAUUGUUAAAGUAUAUAACUAUCCGUAUAUAACUUGCAACGUAAAAUAUUAACGUUUUACAAAAUAAACUAAAAAUAUAAUGUAAAAUCUUAUAAAUAUCACAGAUCUGUAAAGAACAAUAUAAAAAUUGCUUUGCCUUUUUGAAUAUUGCUUUGAUAAUGUUUACUUAUUGUUAAAUAUAUAACUAUCAGCCUUAAUUACUAUAUAGAAUCUGGUUAACAAUGUAUAAAAUAAUCUUUAAAGAAAUCAAACUUAUAAAAUAUCACAAUUGUAAAAGAAUAUAUCUAUUUGAAAUAAAAAAUUUGCGCUUUACUUUAAAGCUAUUUGUGGCGUGGGUUAAAAGAGUCAGCAAGUAAUCUUGAACCCAUGCUCUUACUAGCAAAAGCAGUAUUCCUAUUACUUUUUUGACAAUGUGAUAAUUGAUGUAAUCGCAUAAUAAGAAAUCUUGAAAUUAAUAUUUGUCUUUGGUCGUGACAUGUAGAUAAUGGAAAUGAUGAUAAUUCUUUUAUUAAAUGACAUUCCAAAAUAUUUUUUAGUGA